UAUGAAGGUGAUCUGGUUGUCACAUCUGUCACCCCACUGAUCACCAGGGUUUAUAUGGCUGAUGUGGUUGGCUAGGUAGGUCCCAUCCUCCCUCACUGAACCAUGUGCAUUCUUCCUGAACCUGUGCCUUUGAUGGAAAAGGACAACCUUCUCUGAUAGAGAAGGACCAUUUUUUAAGGACAACCUUCUCUGAUAGAGAAGGACCAUUUUUUGGUCAAGUGCAAAUGAGUAGAUGUGCUCCCCUUGGUAGAACCUCCAAACAUUCUCUCAAGUGUCCACUGAUUCAGGUUUGUGAGACACAAGCUGCUGUUGUGAAGAGACAGAUAUCUCAAACACUUAAACUCAAACCCUUCUACAGAG
ensembl:misc_RNA 7SK 7SK RNA